rnacentral:lncRNA from 1 species
GUUAAAUGAGUGUUCUGAAUUGAGUUACAUGUCUGGUAAUGCCUAGUACCUUGUCCCAGUGUCGGACAUGGGUAAGGGGUGUUACACAUACAGUCCGAUGAAUCACGGACUCAAUUUCCCUUUCCGAUCAAACCGCAAUAUCUUUUUCCACGGCGACACUUUCAAAAACACUUUAUCCUCGAUUUGGAACGCAAUAUCUUUUCGUUUCAAGUCUGCUAUGAUUUUUUUCGAUCCGAAGCUGCUUUCAAGUCUGCUUCUCCCAUGGCUAUUUAGGUUGUGUUUUUUGGUUUUAAAAGAAGAAUGAAACAAAA